rnacentral:rRNA from 1 species
AUUGAACGCUGGCGGCAGGCCUAACACAUGCAAGUAGCGCGAGCGGCGGACGGGUGAGUAAUGUAUGGGGACUGCCCGAUCGAGGGGGAUAACUCCUGGAAACGGUGGCUAAUACCGCAUACUAUCGGAUAACCCAUAUGGGAUUAGCUAGUCGGUAAGGUAAUGGCUUACCGAGGCGACGAUCCCUAGCUGGUCUGAGAGGAUGAUCAGCCACAAUGGGACUGAGACACGGCCCAGACUCCUACGGAGGCAGCAGUGGGGAAUAUUGCACAAUGGGCGCAAGCCUGAGGCAGCCACGCCGAGUGUAUGAAGAAGGCUCUAGGGUUGUAAAGUACUUUCAGUAGGGAGGCGGUACCGACAGAAGAAGCACCGGCUAACUCCGUGCCAGCCGCCGCGGUAAUAC